rnacentral:rRNA from 1 species
AGCGAACGCUGGCGGCAGGCCUAACACAUGCAAGUCGAACGAACCUUUCGGGGUUAGUGGCGGACGGGUGAGUAACACGUGGGAACGUGCCUUUAGGUUCGGAAUAACUCAGGGAAACUUGUGCUAAUACCGAAUGUGCCCUUCGGGGGAAAGAUUUAUCGCCUUUAGAGCGGCCCGCGUCUGAUUAGCUAGUUGGUUGAGGUAAUGGCUCACCAAGGCGACGAUCAGUAGCUGGUCUGAGAGGAUGAUCAGCCACAUUGGGACUGAGACACGGCCCAAACUCCUACGGGGGGCAGCAGUGGGGAAUCUUGCGCAAUGGGCGAAAGCCUGACGCAGCCAUGCCGCGUGAAUGAUGAAGGUCUUAGGAUUGUAAAAUUCUUUCACCGGGGACGAUAAUGACGGUACCCGGAGAAGAAGCCCCGGCUAACUUCGUG